rnacentral:tRNA from 1 species
GCCUCUGUGGUGGAAUGGUAGACACGACAGACUCAAAAUCUGUUGCCUGCAAAGGUGUGCCGGUUCAAGUCCGGCCGGAGGUACCA